CGUAACAAGGUCUCCGUAGGUGAACCUGCGGAGGGAUCAUUACACAAAUAUGAAGGCGGGCUGGAACCUCUCGGGGUUACAGCCUUGCUGAAUUAUUCACCCUUGUCUUUUGCGUACUUCUUGUUUCCUUGGUGGGUUCGCCCACCACUAGGACAAACAUAAACCUUUUGUAAUUGCAAUCAGCGUCAGUAACAAAUUAAUAAUUACAACUUUCAACAACGGAUCUCUUGGUUCUGGCAUCGAUGAAGAACGCAGCGAAAUGCGAUAAGUAGUGUGAAUUGCAGAAUUCAGUGAAUCAUCGAAUCUUUGAACGCACAUUGCGCCCUUUGGUAUUCCAAAGGGCAUGCCUGUUCGAGCGUCAUUUGUACCCUCAAGCUUUACUUGGUAUUGGGCGUCUUGUCUCUAGCUUUGCUGGAGACUCGCCUUAAAGUAAUUGGCAGCCGGCCUACUGGUUUCGGAGCGCAGCACAAGUCGCACUCUCUAUCAGCAAAGGUCUAGCAUCCAUUAAGCCUUUUUUUCAACUUUUGACCUCGGAUCAGGUAGGGAUACCCGCUGAACUUAAGCAUAUCA
rnacentral:rRNA from 1 species